CAGAACGAACGCUGGCGGCAGGCCUAACACAUGCAAGUCGAACGGGUCCUUCGGGGACUAGUGGCGGACGGGUGAGUAACGCGUGGGAACGUGCCCCUUGGUACGGAAUAGCCCCGGGAAACUGGGAGUAAUACCGUAUGUGGUCGAGAGACGAAAGAUUUAUCGCCAAGGGAUCGGCCCGCGUUGGAUUAGGUAGUUGGUGGGGUAAUGGCCUACCAAGCCGACGAUCCAUAGCUGGUUUGAGAGGAUGAUCAGCCACACUGGGACUGAGACACGGCCCAGACUCCUACGGGAGGCAGCAGUGGGGAAUAUUGGACAAUGGGCGAAAGCCUGAUCCAGCAAUGCCGCGUGAGUGAUGAAGGCCUUAGGGUUGUAAAGCUCUUUUACCCGAGAUGAUAAUGACAGUAUCGGGAGAAUAAGCUCCGGCUAACUCCGUG
rnacentral:rRNA from 1 species